AUCUGAGGAGGGAGCUGGGCGGGGACCUUCUUCCCCGGGUUUUUGAGAGAGAGCUUGUUUUGACGCAGUGUUCAAGUGCCCUGAAGUUUAACCCGGCCUUUUUACCAUUGAACCAGCUUAUCGAAUAGCGCAUGUUUCGCGGCCAGAGCGAACUUGUCGAGUAUAAGAUUUGUUGGUGAGAGCAAUUUCAAAGAGGAUCCGUACUUUGUGCUCCUGAGGUGGGCGUUUACCGUGGUCCACGCCAAGAGGAACCUGGGCUUCUUUAUCUGCAAAAAGCAGCGGUGGAGUAUCUCCGUCCUAUAUCCUUACUCUUCAACCACUACUAAAAAUACUGCGCGCAUGUAGGAACCGGACAAAAUGCAAAUCGACCCAAUCACUGAGGAGUAUAAGCACAUGCUACUCAUGGAGACCGAAGAAUAAGCGCGGAGGGCGGGAGGGGUGCUGUCAAUGAUAUCCGAUGAUAUAUCAUAGAUCAUAUUAUUCUUGAAACCUGAACACC
rnacentral:sRNA from 1 species